GUUGUUUCAUCCUCUUUUUCAACUGCAUUUAUUUUAACUACCUUGUCGAGAGAUUUCUUAGUAGUUUCGUCAUCCUUUGAAGCUUCUGUGGAACCAUAGACUGGAUAAGUUUGGUACACAUUUGUGGAUGGAUAUGUUGGAUAAGACGGAUAAGUGGGCUGCGAUUUAGAAGUGGUAGAUUCCGAAACGGUAGCUGUCUCAGUGGCGCCUGAGUAGUAACGUCAUUCUUGGGAGUUACACUGGACUUAUAGUCUGGAUAAGUUUGAUAGACACUUGAGGACGGAUAAGUUGCAUACGAUGGUGAAGUACUUACUUAUGCCAGUUAGGGCUCUGAAGCGUUGGACUUCGCAAGGACUGGGAAAGGUGGAUGGCUGGGCACCCGGAGCUCCGGCACAAACCAGACUUUCGGGACCCGACGGCGGACACGGAAGAUCAUAUGGCUGCUGUUGUUCGAAAUAGUGCGGUGCCGGAUAGUAGGGAACUCCGUAAUCCCAUGCCCGAGCUCCGGCGAGGAGGGCGAAUCCAAUUGAAACUAGGAAAGCUGUCAUUUUCAGAACGAUUCGAAAGCGACUAUGCCGUGACCUCCGCCGCAUCCAGCUUAUAUACGUCCUAACACUCGAUGUUCUCAUACACUGACAAUGUAGGUGUACGUGUCGGGAACUCUGUUUCUGUUUAUUAUAAUGUAUUAUAAUAUUGUUUCCAUAAUUUCGUAUCAAUCGGCAGACACCGCAGACGCCUCUUCUCCCACUUUCAUUCUGUCUUGCACUUUAUUAUGAAAUAUAUUGACCAUUAUCGCAGUG
ensembl:ncRNA asRNA:CR43636 antisense RNA:CR43636